UAAGGAACGAUGACGAGGGAAAGUAGGAAGCAAUUCGCUAACACAGAGAGAAUCACCCUGGCUGAAAGUGGUUUUUAGUAUUGCUUUUGAAGUGCUCCUCGAGAGUCCGUUAUGGAAUGUUAGUACAUAACGGCGGCGCUUACCGUUAUAAGUUUGAGUUGGGAGGACGAUUAUUAUCCUUCAAACAGAGUGGAACCGCGCACGUAAGCGUCUCUGAG
rnacentral:ncRNA from 1 species